rnacentral:rRNA from 3 species
GCUGCAUGGCUGUCGUCAGCUCGUGUUGUGAAAUGUUGGGUUAAGUCCCGCAACGAGCGCAACCCUUAUCCUUUGUUGCCAGCGGUUAGGCCGGGAACUCAAAGGAGACUGCCAGUGAUAAACUGGAGGAAGGUGGGGAUGACGUCAAGUCAUCAUGGCCCUUACGACCAGGGCUACACACGUGCUACAAUGGCGCAUACAAAGAGAAGCGACCUCGCGAGAGCAAGCGGACCUCAUAAAGUGCGUCGUAGUCCGGAUUGGAGUCUGCAACUCGACUCCAUGAAGUCGGAAUCGCUAGUAAUCGUGGAUCAGAAUGCCACGGUGAAUACGUUCCCGGGCCUUGUACACACCGCCCGUCACACCAUGGGAGUGGGUUGCAAAAGAAGUAGGUAGCUUAACCUUCGGGAGGGCGCUUACCACUUUGUGAUUCAUGACUGGGGUGAAGUCGUAACAAGGUAACCGUAGGGGAACCUGCGGUUGGAUCACCUCCUUACCUUAAAGAA